rnacentral:rRNA from 1 species
UACGUAGGGUGCAAGCGUUGUCCGGAAUUAUUGGGCGUAAAGGGCUCGUAGGCGGUCUGUCACGUCGGGAGUGAAAACUCAGGGCUUAACCCUGAGCCUGCUUCCGAUACGGGCAGACUAGAGGUAUGCAGGGGAGAACGGAAUUCCUGGUGUAGCGGUGAAAUGCGCAGAUAUCAGGAGGAACACCGGUGGCGAAGGCGGUUCUCUGGGCAUUACCUGACGCUCAGGUGCGAAAGCUAGGGGAGCGAACAGG